CACAUGCAGUCGAGCGCGCCCUUCGGGGUGAGCGGCGGACGGGUUAGUAACGCGUGGGAACGUACCCAGAUCUAAGGAAUAGCCACUGGAAACGGUGAGUAAUACCUUAUACGCCCUUCGGGGGAAAGAUUUAUCGGAUUUGGAUCGGCCCGCGUUAGAUUAGAUAGUUGGUGGGGUAACGGCCUACCAAGUCUACGAUCUAUAGCUGGUUUUAGAGGAUGAUCAGCAACACUGGGACUGAGACACGGCCCAGACUCCUACGGGAGGCAGCAGUGGGGAAUCUUGGACAAUGGGCGCAAGCCUGAUCCAGCCAUGCCGCGUGAGUGAUGAAGGCCUUAGGGUCGUAAAGCUCUUUCGCCAGGGAUGAUAAUGACAGUACCUGGUAAAGAAACCCCGGCUAACUCCGUGCCAGCAGCCGCGGUAAU
rnacentral:rRNA from 1 species